AUUGAACGCUGGCGGAAUGCUUUACACAUGCAAGUCGAACGGCAGCACGGGGGCAGCCCUGGUGGCGAGUGGCGAACGGGUGAGUAAUACAUCGGAACGUGCCCGGUCGUGGGGGAUAACGUAGCGAAAGUUACGCUAAUACCGCAUACGAUCUGAGGAUGAAGGCGGGGGACCUUCGGGCCUCGCGCGAUCGGAGCGGCCGAUGUCAGAUUAGGUAGUUGGUGGGGUAAAGGCCUACCAAGCCGACGAUCUGUAGCUGGUCUGAGAGGACGACCAGCCACACUGGGACUGAGACACGGCCCAGACUCCUACGGGAGGCAGCAGUGGGGAAUUUUGGACAAUGGGCGCAAGCCUGAUCCAGCCAUUCCGCGUGCAGGACGAAGGCCUUCGGGUUGUAAACUGCUUUUGUACGGAACGAAAAGGCUCUGGCUAAUACCUGGGGCUCAUGACGGUACCGUAAGAAUAAGCACCGGCUAACUACGU
rnacentral:rRNA from 1 species